AAAGGGAUCGCAUUGAUC
rnacentral:snRNA from 1 species